UAUCACUUUGAAAUUUGACCGAUACACUUAACUUUAAUUUCUCUAUCAGUGAACUAAGGGUAAUACUGUAUACCUUGAAAGUAGCAGAGAGAAUUAAAUGAGAUAAUGUAUGUUUGUCAACCUCUCAGAAGAAAAAGGUCUGAGACCCCUUUGCAAACCCGAUGGAAGCUAUGGUUCUGCCUCCCACAAGGGCUUCUGACACCACCACAGUUCCAUCCUCAGUUACCAUGAGAGCCAUUCAGGAAAACAUACCCUUCUCCAGCCACGUGGUGCCAAGGACUAUGGCCCCCCUCUUCCAGUGUGAUGCAAAGAACCGGGUCUUUGGAAUAUGACAGACUUGAGUGUAAAUCUCUGCGGAAAUUGAACAGGUUGUCUACACCACAACACUGUCAUACCUAAGCAUUCUUAACUACAAAAUAAGGCUGAUUGAAUACCUCCUUCAUAGGAUUCUUCUGAAGAUUAAAAAAGAAACUGCACAGACAGCAACUAGUGUAGCACUUGGCACAUGGUAAAGCAGGCAUUCAACGAAUGAUAGGUGACAGGAGCAAAUUAGGAGGUGACUGCACUGCUACUUUCCAUCAGAAAAGGAAACAACAGGAAAAAAAUCAUAGAAAGUAAACAUA